ACUGGGAGAGUCUGUCUUUUAUCUCAAACAAAACUACAUGGAGAAAAGGUACUAAAGAAAGACAAAUGCAUUAGAUAAAUAUUUUACCGUAUAGUUGUCAGUAAACCAACUUAGAAUUAUCCUGCAGGGAUUACAUAAAUAAAUAAAUACAUAAAUAAACAAACAAAAUAAACACCUUUAUGAACACUCCGACUGAGUGGAAUAUGUCUAUAUUCUUAUAACUGCUUCAGUUCUAAAAGCCGGAGACACAGGAAUCAUUAAGAGGGGUUGAGUCAAGAUGGCGGCCUGGAAGUAGCUCCUGCGCGCUGCUCUCACAGGGAGGAGACAAAGGGCUGGUGAACACUGACCCUACAAGCUGAUAUCUAAGAAACCGUGUCGGACUCGAUCAAGGCAGCAAGCCGACACAGAGAACAGAGAGGAGUGCAGCUGGGCAGCAGCCUGUCUGGGAUAAACGCGGAGCCAGGAGAAGCUCCCCAACACAGGAAAGGGAUUUGAACAACUUGCAAAUACACCAUGCUGGACACACUAAGAUAAGCAAAAUCAACUUCCAUCAACCAGGAGUCUGUAUAUGCUUUACCUGGUUCCUCUGCUCAGGGUGUCCAAAGGCUGUGGUCAAGAAUCCCAUCUAGGAUAUCAUAUCACAUUGAGAUGUCAAGUUUCCUUUGGCUGUUCUUGGCUGUGGCAGUUUCUCAGACUUCUGUAGUUUUUGGUAGACAUCAUUCAAUCUAUUGAUAGUCUGAAAUAGAAGAAGACGAUGGAGAAAGGUUGAAUUCUCCCUCUCUGCAUGACAGUAUGAGCUGGAAAACUGAUCUUUCCCUGCCCUUGGAGCUCCUGGUUCUCAGACCUUCAGACUGGAACUGUCACAGUUCCCAAACUCCAAACUCCAAAAG
rnacentral:lncRNA from 1 species